UCUGGUUGAUCCUGCCAGUAGUCAUAUGCUUGUCUCAAAGAUUAAGCCAUGCAUGUCUAAGUAUAAGCAUUUUAUACAGUGAAACCGCGAAUGGCUCAUUAAAUCAGUUAUCGUUUAUUUGAUAGUACCUUACUACUUGGAUAACCGUGGUAAUUCUAGAGCUAAUACAUGCUUAAAAUCCCGACUGUUUGGAAGGGAUGUAUUUAUUAGAUAAAAAAUCAAUGCCUUCGGGCUCUUUGAUGAUUCAUAAUAACUUUUCGAAUCGCAUGGCCUUGUGCUGGCGAUGGUUCAUUCAAAUUUCUGCCCUAUCAACUUUCGAUGGUAGGAUAGUGGCCUACCAUGGUUUCAACGGGUAACGGGGAAUAAGGGUUCGAUUCCGGAGAGGGAGCCUGAGAAACGGCUACCACAUCCAAGGAAGGCAGCAGGCGCGCAAAUUACCCAAUCCCGACACGGGGAGGUAGUGACAAUAAAUAACGAUACAGGGCCCUUUUGGGUCUUGUAAUUGGAAUGAGUACAAUGUAAAUACCUUAACGAGGAACAAUUGGAGGGCAAGUCUGGUA
rnacentral:rRNA from 1 species